rnacentral:antisense_RNA from 1 species
GCGGGGCCCCGCGAGGGGCCCGGCUUUGUGGAGGAUUAGAGGCUCCCGCCCCACCCUACCUGCGUGUGUGUCGCCUAUCUGGAACCGGGAGCUUCCCCAGCUGAGGACCACAGUGAGAGCAGAGAAGACCCAGGAUCAUAUUUGAAACCAUAAAAGCCACAUUAAGACACUAAGAAUAACUCGCAGAAAGACAUUUUCUAUGAAUUGGACGCAGAGUCACAAAACCCAGAAAAGUUCCCUGGUCUCUAUCUCAUGGGCCCGUGUCUGGGGAAGGGGGCCCGAUGUGAGGCUGGGGCCAGUGCCCAUCCUAUUUGAUCUUUAUCUUAAAUCCACUUCAAAAUGCUGUGGCUUGGUGGAUUGAAGUUUCGCCCCUUCCUGUAAUUAUUUGGUGUCUGGUAAAGUUUUUAUGAGUGUUUGUGCAAA